rnacentral:rRNA from 1 species
UACGGAGGGGGCUAGCGUUGUUCGGAAUUACUGGGCGUAAAGCGCACGUAGGCGGCUUUGUAAGUUAGAGGUGAAAGCCUGGAGCUCAACUCCAGAAUUGCCUUUGAUACUGCAUGGCUUGAAUCCAGGAGAGGUGAGUGGAAUUCCGAGUGUAGAGGUGAAAUUCGUAGAUAUUCGGAAGAACACCAGUGGCGAAGGCGGCUCACUGGACUGGUAUUGACGCUGAGGUGCGAAAGCGUGGGGACCGAACAGG